rnacentral:rRNA from 1 species
UAGUCCACGCCGUAAACGAUGAAUACUCGAAGUAGCUGGUAUUGACCCCGGCUGUUUCUAAGCUAACGCAUUAAGUAUUCCGCCUGGGAAGUACGGUCGCAAGACUAAAACUCAAAGGAAUUGACGGGGACCCGCACAAGCGGUGGAUCAUGUGGUUUAAUUCGAAGCAACGCGCAGAACCUUACCUGGCCUUAACAUCCCAGUGAAUGUUCAAGAAAUUGUUCAGGCCCGCAAGGGACACUGGUGAUAGGUGCUGCAUGGCUGUCGUCAGCUCGUGUCGUGAGAUGUUCGGUUAAGUCCGGCAACGAGCGCAACCCUUAUUUUUAGUUGCCAUCAUUAAGUUGGGCACUCUAGAGAGACUGCCGGUGUUAAACCGGAGGAAGGUGGGGAUGACGUCAAGUCCUCAUGGCCCUUACGGCCAGGGCUACACACGUGAUACAAUGGAUGGCACAAAGAGUCGCGAACCUGCGAGGGGAAGCCAAUCUCAAAAAACCAUCCUCAGUUCGGA